AGUGAACGCUGGCGGUAGGCCUAACACAUGCAAGUCGAACGGCAGCACAGUAAGAGCUUGCUCUUACGGGUGGCGAGUGGCGGACGGGUGAGGAAUACAUCGGAAUCUACUUUUUCGUGGGGGAUAACGUAGGGAAACUUACGCUAAUACCGCAUACGACCUACGGGUGAAAGCAGGGGAUCUUCGGACCUUGCGCGAUUGCAUGAGCCGAUGUCGGAUUAGCUAGUUGGCGGGGUAAAGGCCCACCAAGGCGACGAUCCGUAGCUGGUCUGAGAGGAUGAUCAGCCACACUGGAACUGAGACACGGUCCAGACUCCUACGGGAGGCAGCAGAGGGGAAUAUUGGACAAUGGGCGCAAGCCUGAUCCGGCCAGACCGCGGAGGUGAAGAAGGCCUUCGGGUUGUAAAGCCCUUUUGUUGGGAAAGAAAAGCAGCAGGUUAAUACCCCGCUGUUCUGACGGUACCCAAAGAAUAAGCACCGGCUAACUUCGUG
rnacentral:rRNA from 1 species